AUCCGAUAAUCGGUUUCAUGCCCUCGAGCAGGACACAUGUUAAUUAAGCCAGCUCCGAUCGACACUCAUAUUGAACGCGCCCUGCGAUCUUUUGAUGACCCAGAUUAAUUUACAGUCAGCUAUUUUGAUGACCUUGAUUAUGAAUUAACAAAAUUAUGCAAUCAAUAACAGUUUUAUGAUAAUUUUAUAUUAGCAACAAUAGCCGAAAAUCUCGUUGUUUUUAGCACGUUGGCGGUGAAGCUACAUGUAGCCUUGAUUGGAAGAAAUGGCUGAUAACGGUCAAUUAAACGAUAAUUAUUUUAAAAGGUUGUAAUCUUUCAAAAUGUAGAUCGAUUGUCACACAUAUUCUAAAUUAAACUUUUGACUAUUGAAUGCCUUUGCCGACCGAUCCAUGAAAAUUGACCCAACCCGAAAUAUUUUAUAUCGAUUUUAUCUACAAGAUUUAUUUUAUUCCUUUGAGGAUUCCAUUUUAUUAAUGAUUAGAUAAACGUUUAAGCUUUAAAGUGAUACCAAAUAAGCUGGAUUCUAAAUCACGAUGACCAGGUUAAUUCUUCGUAUGUAGCAAGUCUCCUAAUUCAGUUCACCUCGGGAACGCAACCAAUUCACGUGCCGAACUAUAGACGUGAAUUACCCUAUUUACCUCCCUUAGAAAGCUAGACGACAUUUGCAGCAAAUUAUUCCUAAGCGAGGGAACAAUGUUUAUCUCCGGAAACUGCAUGUAAUUUUAUGAUAUUUAUGCAUGAAACAGACGAAUACUAAUGUCACGGUGUAUGUCCCGGACAAAGGGUAAAAAUCCCGGAAAUUUUAACUCAGAAUCCCGGAAAGGUCCUGAAAAAUUAUGGCAUAUUGGUACUUGAAAGUCAAUGGUUGAUCAUGAUGACCAUCUUUAAUUUAAUGGGGAAAGAUUAACCAAUAUUUGCAGCUGGAGAGGCUAUCACCACAGUUCAAUGAUUUAGUUAAGACAAUGAAAUAGAAGAACUUCAUGCUAACACUUGCAUCAGUGGAAGUACUUCUUAUUGGAUAGAGAACUUUACAAGGUCAGCCACCAGCUUUUGAAGUUGCUUUCUUGGCACAUCAUGCUGUCCAGUGGAGUUCAUACCAUAUGCCAGGCCUUUAUACAUGGUCAAAGAAGAUGAAUUUGUUAUUCAAUUUGUGAAAUUUGAUUUAAGGAGGACUUUCAUAUAUGAUGAUUAUAUUCAGCAGAUUAUCUUCAAGUGUGCACUUCAUAGAAUCACAGUUUCUAGGAGGUUUUCAGUUUAAAGUUAGAUUAAUUGAAAAAUAAGUAAACCUAUCAUACUCACCAUGGCAUCGGCAUUGGCAUUACACCAGUUUUAAGUUUUUCUUACCAGUCCAUAUUUUAAAAGGACCUUUUGAAAGUAUUGAAACUUACAACAGUAAUUUAUCAUCAUUAUACCAUGUUUUAGGCAAAAGUACAUAACUCCAUCAAGGAUUUGACUGAACUAUGGCCCUUUGAAACUUUUGUCACUUGUUUAUUAUAAUAGUCUCUAUAGGCAAGAGUUAAUAACACUGUAGAGUAAUUUGGUUGAAUUAUGUCCCUUUUGGACUUUGAAAUUGGUUCAGUUUUUGUACAAGUCCACAUUUUGACAUAUAGCUUUGAAUCUUUCAACACUAAGUCUUACCAUUACAAUGAUAUAACUUAAAAUAGUUGUUCAACAUCAUCACCCACAUCAUAUGACACAAGAUGCGUGACUCUUGCACCAAAAUUUAAUAAAUUAUGCCCUUUUUUGCUUAAAAUGUACUUGUAUAGUGUUUUGAUACACUUUAUCUUUAUCUCUCAUAUUACAUAAUAUUUUAAAACAGACUUAGUUAUUAUGCAAUAUCUUCAUCAGCCAUUGGAGCCAUUAGUUGGUGUUUAGAUCCUAUAAUUGUAAAACAUAAAAUAAAUGUUGAAAGUUUCAUAAAA